CUUACUACUGUGUGUUACAUCUAAUACCAUGAUGUAUCUUGUUCUUCUUACAAUCAUCCUACUUACUACUGUGAAUGGAGCCGUUAUUGGAAAUAAUCUCCUGAGCUCCUUAAGAAUCUGUCCUAUUGUGGAUUGUGCCUUUAAUGUGAUGUGUCUAGAUUCUGGUGUUAUGACACAUACAAGUUAUUUUAACAUUAAUGGUAUGAAAUGUGCCGGUUGUCCAACCUGUAGCAGACUACCUAUUGAUGUGAUUGCCAAAAGAGCGUCAAUUCUUACUACUGAUUCACCUAUAAAACUCGACCCAGUUAAAAUAAUCCAUCUCAACAUGUGUCCAAUGACCAUGUGUGCUUAUCCCGGCUCAUGCAAACCAUCUGAAUACAUCCAGAAUUAUUUUGAUUGGAAUGGUAAAAGAUGUCCUGGAUGUGUCAGCUGUCCAUCAAAUCUGGUAGUGAAUCCAGUGUAGAAGAUGUACUAAUGUUGGAAAAUAAAAUAUUCCAAUAAGCUU